rnacentral:sRNA from 1 species
AUUGUCGAUAGCAACCCCGACAACAGCAAAUGCUGAGCGACUGAAAGAGAGAAAAACAGAUGUACGUGUGCUCAUACACACUCACACACACGUAUAUAUGUAUAUGCAUUCAGGCAGCAUACAGAUGUUGCUUGAAAAUUUUUUCUUACAUGUUUUUUGGCUGCACUUCUUGGAACUUUGCAAUUUUGUUAAUUUGUAAAGGAGCAAAAACAUUUAAGUGAUAUUUCAGUAAAAACUAUUGCUGCUUAUUGUGCUGGCUUGCCAUCAGAAAAGCAUAAACAACACAUGUAUGUAUGUUUGUAUGUCUGCAUACAUAUAGACAUCUGUCUGUACAUACAUACAUACAUAUAGAAUAUGAGGCUGCCAGCCCGCUACGCUUUUCUCUCAUCUGGCUGGAUGGCUGGCUGCAUUGGCUUCACAAUGACGCCCCCAAUACACCCGUACAACUUCUACUACGCGUUAGGUGGCUCGCCUGCAACUGCAACAGUCUAGGAUCAUUGAUUUUUUAGCCAUGGCCCAGGAGCAUGCGCCGGGCAAUUCCAUCGGCCUCGUCCAGUCUUUGACUCUUGGCGCGUGUCAAUGCACCGGCAUGACACGUCGUUGCAGCCCAUCAUUGACGCGCACCUUCCAGACGCAGACGCUAACACGGACGGCGACGCCGGCAGAGCGACGUCGACAGCAGCUGCUUUUAUGUUUAUGAUGUAUUUACCGUGUGACAUUGGCAGCUGCAAAUAAUAUCAAUAACGCGAUAAAAGUUACAGCCACGAAAUCAACCGAGCUGAUAAUGUUCCAUGGUCAUAUUUUAUUAAUUUCUAUAUAAACAAGUCGAGCGUAGACGAUAAGCGAUAGGUAUAUAUAAAGAGGUAUAUAUAGCAGUAUGCACUUAUGUACAUACAUAUGUAUGUGUACUAUGUGUAUAUAGAAAAUAUAUAUAUACAUACAUACAUAUAUGUUAGAUGUAUACAUGCUGUUAUGUAAGGAUGUAGUACAUUGAUUUAUCAAGUGCAAUGAUUGUAACCAGUUUAUAGAGAAUACCCACAGAAUAAGGUAUCAUAUAUCAUAUAGAUACUAAGCACAUUAAUUAACUAUGAUUAUUAUAAUUGAUAGACGAUUAGCCAGAAAGUAAAACAGAGGAGGAAUGCUUGUAAAUAAUUGAACCUUAGUUAUAUUUUAUAUACUAUUUUAAAUAAUUCUCGGAAGCGCUAAAUGCCAGAAUGGAUUGCAAUAAUUAUGGUUAAAUGUCUAAUAUACUAUAAAUAUUC